CUGGCUGCUCGUGAGCAGAUAGAGAAGAGCCCUGGUGCUGGCCACUGUGAGCAUCAGCCUCUGUCCUGGAGGCUCACACAAUCUUGGGAGCUGUGAAGAAGAGGAGUCUGUGGCUAUUAGGAAUGCCAUUAGUGCAUAAAUCAAAGGAAGACUGUUUAUUUUCUUCAGAAUUCCAAGAGUUGUGUAUCAUUUUGGAAAAUCACACCACCCGCAGCAGCUCAUGUUAUCUGAGUCACCAAUCCCACUCCUCUGACUUCAACUGCAUUGGAGGGGUGGCCCAACCUGAGCUUCUUGGGGCAGGUGUCAGCCCCUGAUCACUUCUUUCUGUUGCCCAGAGGCGGGUGCCUGCGUUGGAAGUAAUCAGCAAAUACUUUGUCUCAUUCUUCUUUAUAUUUCAGUUAUGACAUUAUAUUAAUUUUUCUUAAAAAUUAUGGGUGUGAGUGAGUCAUAUUAUCCAGGAAUUUCACCUCAGAAUUGUAAACCAGGUGCUUGAAUAUAUUUGCAAUAAAAAUGGGGGUUGGGUCUGACAGGCCUAAAAGCUUACUGCUUUAAAAGAAAUUUUCUAUGGAUCAAAAAUGCCUUUCGAAGUGGAAACACCAGGGAAUCAUUUCCUUUCUGGAACCUGCCGGACCUGCAGCAGCCCUGCCAGGCAGAGCAGGAGAGGCUGGCGCUACAGCAUGAAAGAGCUCUUUCUCUUCAGCCCUCACAGGUGAAAAGACACGGACGCCCCGGCCACUGCUCAAACCAAAGGAGGAAAGACUCACAGACUCCUAGGGCCAUGUGGCCCUCAAUAAGUUAGUUAUGUAUAAUAUAAGCCUCAGUUUCCCCAUUUGUAUGUUGGCAGUAAAAGUAGCCCCUCCUGUAUUGACUUCCUGUGUGGAUCAAACACGAUAAGUAAGAUAAACCAUGUUUCAUGCUUCCCUCCACAUCCCUGAGCACAUAAUGCUCAAUUGAUGCAAAUGUGUAUUAUCAUCCAUACAGCAUUUAUGGUUUACAAAGCCCUUUUCCACAUACUGUUUCCUUUGAACCAUUCAGCAGUGGGGACUGACAGGAAGAACAUCUCCAGGGAGGAGAGGAGGCUCGGGGAUGCCAUGAUACUUGCCCUAGGUCACACUGGUGGCCAUGAAAAUGGCUUUUCUGAACUGGA
rnacentral:lncRNA from 10 species